rnacentral:rRNA from 1 species
AUUGAACGCUGGCGGCAGGCCUAACACAUGCAAGUCGAGCGGAGCGGCGGACGGGUGAGUAAUGCCUAGGAAUCUGCCUGGUAGUGGGGGAUAACGUCCGGAAACGGGCGCUAAUACCGCAUACUAUCAGAUGAGCCUAGGUCGGAUUAGCUAUUUGGAGGGGUAAAGGCCUACCAAGGCGACGAUCCGUAACUGGUCUGAGAGGAUGAUCAGUCACACUGGAACUGAGACCAGGUCACGACUCUUACGGGAGGCAGCAGUUGGGAAUAAUGGACAAUGGGCGAAAGACUGAUCCAGCCAUGCCGCUAGUGUUAAGAAGGUCUUCGGAUUUGAAAGCACUUUAAGUUGGGAGGCGUUACCAACAGAAUAAGCACCGGCCAACUUCGUGCCAGCAGCCGCGGUAAUAC